rnacentral:pre_miRNA from 1 species
AGUGGGAUUGCUGGGUCAGAGGUUUAAUUCAUAUGCAAUUUUUCUAGAAAUUGCCAAAUUUCUCUCCAAGUGGACUGCACCCUUUUGCUCUCCCACCAGUAAC